CUUUAAAGCAUAUCACAAAUAUUUUUUUAUUUUUGAAAAUAUUUAUGGAUACAUUUUGUUUUUCCCCCACAAAUCUCAAAAUAAUCUUUUUUUUUUUUAAACCCUUACCUUCCAUUUUGGAGCCAAUACUGUGUAUUGGUUCCAAGGCUGAAGAGUGGUAAGGGCUAGGCAAUGGGGGUCAAGUGACUUGCCCUGGGUCACACAGCUAGGAAGUGUCUGAGGUCAGUUUUGAAUUUAGGACCUCCUGUCUCUAGGCCUGAAUAAUCUCUCUUUUGAAGUACAUUCUCUGGGGGGAAAAAGUUUAUCAAAUGUUAUCAGGAAGGAGGGACAUGCACUUUAUUUAUUUUUGAAAGUUCUUGUUUGAUUCAUCUCAUAAACUGUUUACUCUGCAUCAUUCAUAUAUAUUUCCCCAUAUUUUCUGAGUUUUUCAUGCUUAUCUUUCUUAUAACCUAGUAAUUUUCGUACAGCCUAUACUUUAUUUCUAGAAUGUGCUCCUUUCUAAUUUCUACCUCUUAGGACCCCAGGUUUCCUUCAGUUCAAACACUAUGAGAUUUUCUGAUUAUCUUAGCUAUAGCACAUCCCUAUUCUCUCCUCCCUCCCUCCAAUAAGAAUCACCAUGAGUACAUUUAGCAAAACUGUGUAUAUUUCUCUUAGAGAAAUGCAAUCUACUAAAGAACAUAUUGUUUCAUUUCAGCCUUUGUAUCCCCACUGUCUAGCAUAAUACCUAGAACGCAUUUAAUAACCUCCAAGUGGAAGAGAUGCUGGUGCAGUCUGCAGAACAACUGCCUACAAUUGCUGCUUGCUGAUCUUAAAGCUUAGUUACCCCUGUUUCCUGUCUGUGGUAACAGAGGCUAUUCUGUCUUUCAGAAAAGUCUUCAGAAAGUCUUGUCUAAAUUCGAAUUGAGAAGCUGCCACAGUUAAUGGCUUCCAGGAAACAAGGUACUGGGAUUUCCCAAGAAGCAAUAGUUGAACCUACUCUGGUCUCUGCCUUUAGAGUUGCACAGAAGUCACAGAGCAAUGUGUAUGUGAAAUGUCAACAGAGACUAUGGCUCAUUCUUGGAAGCAACCAUCUGCAUCAUCAUCAAAAAUUAUUCGUUAGAUGCCCAUCUGUUCAUGGAUUUCAACAAUAUCAGCAGACUACCAUGAGAAACACUUUCUUGACCCCAAUGCUGGAUGAAACAGUCCCUAAUUGUGGUAAAUGACAAGCUUAUUCUGGGGUAGGGAUAAGGAGUCUAAUUUAAGAAGAAAGCAGACUAAAAGAAUAGCGUAAGGAGUUUGUAAUGAUAACUACAUAUAAUGAUAGAGACAUGCUAAAUAUAGUUGUAGGUUGUAGAGGAGCAAAACAUAAUGAAAUCACCUUAAUGAGACAAAGUCAAAGUACAUUUGCAAGCAUGAAAGGAAAAAGCAUUUAGAUUGCUCUAGGAAUAGCAUCUACCUCUUUAAACCAAUACAUCUUGAUACUUUUUUUCUCUCAAACUCUUAGUCUUGUCUCAUAAUUAUGAAAAGACAAGUUUUUGUAGAAUAGCAAUUAAAAUUGUCUGAUUAUAAGCUAUUGGACAUAUGUCUACUUGCUCUACUUUUCAAUGAUGGAGGAUAAUAUUACUCGUUUAAAAUAUUAGUAAUACCUUCUUUUUCACAGGACUUUAAAGUCUACAAAUUGUUUUUGCAUGCAUUCUAUGAGGUAUGGAGGUCAGAUAUCUAUCAGUCAACCAAUAAACAUUAGUUUGGUGAUGACUGUGCCA
rnacentral:lncRNA from 1 species